GACCUCAAAGAAAACACGCCCCUCGCUUGACAGCUUGUGUUCUACGUGAAAAGAUACGACGUCCUAGCCUGCCGCGAAAAUACCCCGCGAUAGUCGAGUACAAGCUGAUUGUUUGGGUGGUUUUAUUCACAUUUUGGAGCCCGUUGAAAACCCCUGUGCAGAAGAAACAACAUAUCACCAUUAAUGCUGAUAUACUAAUCAAGACUACAGAUAAAGUGUGAUUGUGAAACAAAAAUAAACUUUAUCUUAUUGUAUUGUAUCAUUCAUGAAGGAUUGACUUGGACAGCGCGACGUGUCAUUCAGUCAGUGCGAUAACACCACCACCACCACCACAACGCACAUUGAUGCGGAUGAUCAAGGCAUCCAUUCCGUUGACGAUUCGCUACCCUCGCACGGCUCACUAAAAGAGUGUUCCAAACUGAACAAUCUGAUACACCCAUCGUCUGUUUCAAGAUUCCUUAAAAGGCCUGGAACUGAGAUUUGGAAUAAAUUCGUGGUAUACUCCGCUACGUCCAGUUGUCUUGCAUCUUUCUCGUUAUAUAAAUAAAGCGGUAUAAGAACAUUCUUUAACAUGGCAACGGAAACUGAUGACAGAUCGACACCCCAACAGCAGCAGGCCAGCUCGGCACCCACGCCAGGGCCAUCGCCAGGGAACGACCCAGAACUUUGGGCAGCUCAGACAAUGACAUUUCCUACUGCCAACGAAGUCAAAAGAAAGAGACCUAAGAAAGAAUCCUCACACUCGGAUUGAUGGAGACUGCUUUCUCUUGAAGAUCACCUUUACCCUUGAAGGAACGAGUCAUCGAUGAGCGUUACUAUGGUAACAACAGACUAAAAGUAACAUUCUUUAGAAACAACUCUUUUCUCAGCUGAUCUUUUUCGAUGUCGCGUGCGUAUAUUUUCCAUGUUCGUCUCAGUCUAAAAGACUUCUAAACUAUUGUGAAAUCUGCGUUUUCAUGUUCGUCUCAGUCUAAAAGACUUCUAAACUAUUGUGAAAUAUGCGUUUUCCUUUUUAUUGUACAAUGAUUGAGCUGCUUUGUGCAGUCUUCUGUAUAUGCCAUGAAGCUUUGUUGAAAACAUCGCCGAAUUUGUAAAUUUUUCGUUAUUAAAGUAAUCUGAAAUAGAUUUUUAAUACGUCUUGUGGGUUUGGCGGGGCAUUCACUUUGUUAAUACUGUUGCAGAUUAGUGAGUUGCAAUUAAAUUUGCUCUCAGCGUAUCAGAACAUAUAAUCAAAAGCUUCAUAGGAAAGCUAAUUUUGCGAUCAAAUUGAGUAAGCUAUACAUUCCACGGGAGAUGCUAUUCAAAUUAUGUGGCUUAAGAAGGCACAGUUUUGAAUGGAACGUGUUCUGGGUUGCUUAAGUAAGACCCUUAAUCACUUUAUCUUUCGGCAGCGUAGUUGAAGUGUGAUCUUGAAUUUUUGAACUCCUGUUAAGAACUAAAGUAUCAAUAGUCUAUUUGUAUAUUACAAUUAUUAAUGGAAUUUCAAAUGAAAGAAAAUGUAUUGAAUUUGUAUGCAAGAUGACGAAAUUCGAUUUGGGGAGGCAAAUAAAUUAAAUAAUAAUGCCACUUUUUUUAAAACAGUAAGGAAAUUUCGGGAGUAUCUUCUUUAGCUCGGGAACCGGUUCCAAUAGUUCUUAAAAGUCAUACGUUACCUUACAAACGGGUAUCCCGAUGCAACACUCACUCCUCUAACCGUACUAGCCACUAGGCUCAUGCGUACGCGAAUAUAUACAGAACGAAUAUAGAGAGAAAAAAAUAUUUCGUGAUGUAAAGCUUGCCAGAAUGUCGGCUUAUAGCCAAUAUUGUCUCGAAUAAGAAGAAUGUUGAUUUACAGAUAAAAGUCAUCUCAAAGUAGUGAGAUGUUUUAAAUAUCGCUUCAUACCUUAUCAGAAUAUCUGAUAGUAAUCGAAAUAGUCGGAAAAACUUUUACAAAGUUUGGAAAGACCGAAUGUGCAAGAGGGUCAAAUGUCCAGAUCGAGGGUCAGAUAUCAAGACCAAUGGUAGGAUGAAGAUCCACUCAAAGCAGAGUGAUCCGAUGAACUCGCUCCCAUAUAAAUGCUUUCUUUAAAUAAACAAAAACCCUCUAAAUUCACUCUUCAACAUAAUCACACUUGAAAAAGUGCUUUUUUUCCUACAGUGAAGAAUUCGAUAGAUAUAAAUCUGUGAAGUACAAAUCAAUUUUAAGGUCUCUUUUUACAAUUCAUUAACAAGUGAUGUUUUAUCUAUUACAUUUAUUUUUGUAAAUCUAUUUGUGCAAUUGUAUAUACCUGCACAAGAGCUAUUGUAAAAAUAUGAAAAAUAAAUAUUUCGAUUUAUG
rnacentral:lncRNA from 1 species